GCUGGGCGUGGUGGCGCUCGCCUGUGGUCCCAGCUACUCAGGAAGCUGAGGUGGGAGGAUGGCUUGAGCCCAGGAGGUUGAGGCUGCAGUGAGUCAUGAUCGUGCCACUGCACUCCAGCCUGGGUGACAGAGUGAGAUCUUGUCUCAA
rnacentral:SRP_RNA from 1 species